UACGUAGGAGACGAGCGUUGUCCGGAAUUACUGGGCGUAAAGAGCGUGUAGGCGGAUGGGCAAGUCUGCUGUGAAAGCUCCUGGCUUAACCGGGAGUGGUCGGUGGAAACUGCCAAUCUGGAGGACGGUAGAGGUAGGUAGAAUUCCCGGUGUAGUGGUGAAAUGCGUAGAGAUCGGGAGGAAUACCUGUGGCGAAGGCGGCCUACUGGGCCGGACCUGACGCUGAGACGCGAAGGCGUGGGGAGCGAACGGG
rnacentral:rRNA from 1 species